AGAGUUUGAUCCUGGCUCAGGACGAACGCUGGCGGCGUGCUUAACACAUGCAAGUCUAAGGAGAAAGUUCCUUCGGGAAUGAGUAAACUGGCGAACGGGUGAGUAACGCGUAGGUAACCUACCCUUAAGCUCGGGAUAACCCACCGAAAGGUGAGCUAAUACCGGAUAAUAUCUUUCCUCAUAAGGGGUAAAGAUCAAAGGUGGCUUCGGCUAUCACUUAUGGAUGGGCCUGCGUAAGAUUAGCUAGUUGGUAGGGUAAAAGCCUACCAAGGCUACGAUCUUUAGCUGGUCUGAGAGGAUGAUCAGCCACAUCGGGACUGAGACACGGCCCGAACUCCUACGGGAGGCAGCAGUGGGGAAUAUUGGACAAUGGGGGCAACCCUGAUCCAGCAAUACCGCGUGUGUGAAGAAGGCCUGAGGGUUGUAAAGCACUUUCAAUUGUGAAGAAAAGUUAGCGGUUAAUAACCGUUAGCCUUGACGUUAACUUUAGAAGAAGCACCGGCUAACUCCGUGCCAGCAGCCGCGGUAAUACGGAGGGUGCAAGCGUUAAUCGGAAUUACUGGGCGUAAAGCGUGCGUAGGCGGUUUAUUAAGUCAGAUGUGAAAGCCCCGGGCUUAACCUGGGAACUGCAUUUGAAACUGGUCAACUAGAGUAUGGUAGAGGAAGUGGAAUUUCUGGUGUAGCGGUGAAAUGCGUAGAUAUCAGAAGGAACAUCAAUGGCGAAGGCAGCUUUCUGGACCAAUACUGACGCUGAGGUACGAAAGCGUGGGUAGCAAACAGGAUUAGAUACCCUGGUAGUCCACGCCGUAAACGAUGAUAACUAGCCGUUGGGGGGAUUUACCCUUUAGUGGCGAAGCUAACGCGUUAAGUUAUCCGCCUGGGGAGUACGGCCGCAAGGUUAAAACUCAAAGGAAUUGACGGGGACCCGCACAAGCGGUGGAGCAUGUGGUUUAAUUCGAUGCAACGCGAAGAACCUUACCUGGUCUUGACAUCCUGCGAACUUUCUAGAAAUAGAUUGGUGCCUUCGGGAACGCAGUGACAGGUGCUGCAUGGCUGUCGUCAGCUCGUGUCGUGAGAUGUUGGGUUAAGUCCCGUAACGAGCGCAACCCCUAUCCUUAUUUGCCAGCACGUCAUGGUGGGAACUAUAAGGAGACUGCCGGUGAUAAACCGGAGGAAGGCGGGGACGACGUCAAGUCAUCAUGGCCCUUACGACCAGGGCUACACACGUGCUACAAUGGGAAGGACAAAGAGCCGCGAAGCCGCGAGGUGUAGCUAAUCUCAGAAACCUUUUCGUAGUCCGGAUUGGAGUCUGCAACUCGACUCCAUGAAGUCGGAGUCGCUAGUAAUCCCGGAUCAGCAACGCCGGGGUGAAUACGUUCCCGGGCCUUGUACACACCGCCCGUCACACCACGAAAGUCAGCAACACCCGAAGUCAGCUGCCUAACUCUUAGGAGAAGGAGCUGCCGAAGGUGGGGUCGGCGAUUGGGGUGAAGUCGUAACAAGGUAACC
rnacentral:rRNA from 1 species